rnacentral:sRNA from 1 species
GAUUUAUUUCUACGGGUAUUGGUUUAGCCGCCACGGCGUCUGAUCCACCCGGACAGGCGCCCGAUAACGGGACGCCUGCCGAAGAGUUUUCAAACCCCCGGUUGGCGACCCAACCGGGGG